GCAGGAAGGAAAACAAAGUGAUACGGAGAAGGAAGGCACAGGACUGGAUUAGCGGUGGAGAAGAGAGGAGAAUGGGAAGAGAUGGAGGUCUACAGGGAGUCAGAAAACCCUAAGGGAGUUGGAAAAUGUGCAAGGAGAGUAGAGAGAGAGAUGGAGACGAAGAGGAGACAUCUGCUUCCCCCUGAAGUCUGACCUAUGGGGAGUAAGGAUGAAGGAGUAAAUAAAGAAAAGAGAAACCAAAAGGGGGAGGAUCAGCAGCACCCACUGGGACUCUCAAGGAAGCUGCAAGGAGAAAGAGAGGAGACAGCUUGGAGGAACCCUGGAGACUGCAGACACACUGAAACUCCUCGUGGAUGUGGGCAGAAGACCAUAUUUGCUCGAGUAAAUACAGAGACGACUGGGAGGCUCAGUGAAUGUGUGCCUGUGUGUGUCUGAUUACACACUUUCCUUUCUUACAACAGUGUUUACAUAAACAGGAACCGGGGACUGCAUGCGGUGGCUUUGGGCCUCGAGCAGCUUCUGACUCCUCGCGUUGCGUCAGGCUGCUUUGCAAAUCGUCGCAGUCGGAACUAGACGAGAAGGGUCACAGCUUAACUGUUUCCACUGGGAAUACCCGGUGAUUAAAAGCCGACUUCUCCUUCCUCUGCUUUAUCUGCUGUGGAACAUCCUCUUAAAGACACUCUGUGGAGUUUUUGACCUCUAGUGAUGCUUAAAAGUAGACUUUUGAUGAGAUGAUGGAGGUAGUGAAUAUCAACAGCUGGAGACUCUCUGCAACAGACCAGGCGUAAACUAACCGUGACGUCACCCGUUGGUUUCAACGCCGAGAAAAUGAAGCGAGGAUUUUGCUACUUCCUGGUCGCCGUUUUGGAUUUUUUUGGAGCCAGUGACGUAAAAAGCGUCAAACAGACUGGACCGGAGAGCAACUAGGGGCAGGAUUGGCUGAGGACUCUCUUAUCCCGCCCACAUUUUACCGCAGAGGCUUCUGUUGCUGUCUAUCAAAUAUAGCCAUGCCCCCUGGCUCCGCGAACUUUCACGAUUUAUUUAAAAUUCAGUAUUGAUUUAUUUUAAGAUCGGCCACCUGAUCUCUCAUUUUGAGAAUGAAAACUAACAGGGAAAAAAUCCUGAGCUGUAGAAAAUCAGUCUAUCAAAUUUUAUUUUUUCCAAAAAUGAAUUGGGGUCUAUGGAGAAAAAGCUUUUUGGAGCCAACCCUAGCGGACGGCGUGAUAUUGCAAGUUUUUGACACUUCCGGGUUGGCUUCAAUUCUGGAGCCAGAUGCUACAUCCACUAUAUAUACAGUCUAUGCAACAGACUGAUAACCUGUCCGGCGCGUGUCCUGCCUUUGCCCCAAGUCAGCUGGGAUAGGCUCCAGCCCCUACGCGACCCUAAUGAGGAUUGAGCCGUGUAGAAAUAAUGGAUGGAUGGAAAUUGAUUUCACAAGCUGUCUUGCUUUUUGUUCAUAUUUUUGUUUCUGCCUGACUGAUGAUAUGUACAACACUUUGGUCAAUUCAGGUCAUUUUAAAUGCCCAAUAUACAUCAACUUGAUUUCAGUGGGUCUUUCUGUGCAUCUCCACAAAGUUGCAUGAAAUUUAGCUUGUUCGUUUUUGGGUUAUCUUCAUAACAGAGGAGGCAAAUAGAAAAAUUGCACUGAUCCUUCUGCAGCAGCUCUCGCCUUGGCGGAGAAACCAUAAAUAAAACAGAAUUAGAAACCGACUCUACAAAAGCUACAUGCAUUAUAUAUGGGAUUUAAUACGGAGCUGAGCAAAUAUAUGCAUCACAAACUCAGUCAGGCAUUAAUAUCAUCUCAUGCAGCGUGUCGGCAAGUCAAGAUACCCGUCUAACCCCCUUUCUGCUCUUUCAGAUUUUCUAUCCAUCAAACCUGCAAGGAAGGAAAACCAGAAACCCUUCAAGGAUGAAACGUGACCAAAAAUAAUAAUAUUAGAGCAAACACACCAAAGCAGAGAAAUAAAAGUGACUGCAGGCUGCGUGUUUCUGAGUCAAUGUCAGUCUUGUUACAGUGAGAGGUUAGCGCUGCACUUGAGAGACGGUCCCUAGCCUUUAGUGUUGAGGGUCAGUGACUCCCAAAAGGGACGUGGAACAUCUCCCCAACUCUGCACACAUCACUGCGUCACAUGAAUAACCCCGGCAGCUUCCUGCCAAUGUCAGGGACACACGGGGCAUAUAGACGCCCACAGCGACAGCAGGGAGAAGAAGCGAGUGGAGGCGAGGACACAUUUGUGACAGAUCUCUCAUUAAACACAGACAUACAAAUAUUGUGUUUAGUUUGCUUGCUGUCUGUUUUUUUUUCUGCUUAAGUACACGAGUCUGUGUAGUUGACAGCGGGACUUGGAGCUGAGCUUGACAGAUCCAGCACCAUGCAGGCAGCUUCAAUGAAAUGCUAAAUAAUUGAUUGUUGCCUGGCAAGAAGAAAGUAGCAGGUGUAUGUGUGCUGCUGAUAGUAUAUGACUCCGACUCACGCAGCGUAUGAAUUCAUUAAUUAACUCGAGGAUAAACCAAACCCCGUAGACGAGAGCGAAUUCCCCUGCUAGGUUCGCUAAUUAAAUCACAGCAAUUAUUUAUAACGGCAGCCAUAAAGUUAAAUUAAUGUUUAAUUUUUAAACAAAUACAGAGAGGGGGGUGUGUUCAUGAAAGAAAGUGGAGGAACUAUGAGUUGCAGAGUGAGUUAAGGGAAACAAAAUACCAAUGAAAGUCUGCUCUGCUGCAGGUGACAGAAGCACAAAUGGAAUGAAAUGGCACACAGAACAGCUCAAAUGGAGAAUGCAACGGCUGAGAUCAUCCAUCAAACGGAAGCUUUUAGCCGUACGGACGAGCUGAGGCAGCAGGCAAAAGGUGCAGGUGAAAAAUCAGUCACGUAUUUGUGCUUGGAUAAAGCUGAGGCAGGCAGAAAUCAAAUGAGUGAGUGAGGGGAACAGCUGCAGAAGGAAAAAGCAUAGCAGUAGCUCGCAGGAAUAUUAUGAAAGCAACAGAAUAAACAGCCCCAGUAAAGAGCACAUUCAAUUAUAUUUAAUUACAGGAUGUCAAAAGGGGUUUGUCCAGUUUCUGCAACAGACUGGCAGCUCCAGGCCUUCACAUCUCAUAUCAUCACAUCUUAUACUCUCUCAAGUCUGAGCAGUCAGCUGUGGCAUUUAUAUGCGUUAAAAAAUGACUCUGAUUAUUGCACAGGUAUGAGAAAGGCCCAAACAAAUGAUCUUCUGCUCGACACUGACUCGUGUGAACACAUUUCACCAAACGAUGCAAAGCUGGAUGUUUUUUUCUGAGCUCGGAUGAAAUCGUGGAUCACAAUAAAUCAGAGGGGCGGAGCUUUCACUUUAAUCUCACACUGACUCCAGCAUUGUCGGAGCUCAGCGGCUGCUUGGAGUGGAAGAAAUGCAGCGUAUGCACGGGGGAAAUGACAGCAAAAUGCUUAUUAGGGGUGCAGUCAUCAGGAGUCACCUUUAAUUGCUUCUUUUUUUAGCAUGGUGUGCACAUUUUGCACCAAAUGCAUGAAACAAUGAAUAUUUUGGUUGUAAUCGAAGCAAGAAGUUUGGCAUUAAAGCUACACGGGACUGGAGCAGUGUGGUGUGUUUCUGCAGCCUACAGUUAUUGAAUAUUAAAGGUUGAAGCUGGCAGGAGAAGCAUCGAAUGCAAAUGAAGCGUCGGUUACAGUUUCUUAUGGCUGUUUUUGCCUACAGCUCCUCUACAUCUUGCCUGGUGACCUCUGCUUUUUUUUUUUUUUACAAAACGACAUGAAAUUGAGGUGUUCGUUGUCCUCUGAAUGCAAAUGUAAACAAGCCAUCGCUGUAUUGUUAUUUGCACCAUCUGCUCUUGCUGAUACACAGGCCUUCCACAGAGAUUUGCGCUCCACCUCUGCAGCUGAAUACACACUAUAAUUACACCCGGCAUUUCUAACCCCAGCAGACUCUGCGUCCAUCCAGAGCAGAAAGAUGUCAAGUCAAUUUCUUUUCUUUCUGCGCCAAAAUCAUGCAAACUGUCGGCGCUGAGCUUAUUAGAGAUGUAUUAUUUCCACUUGGCCUGUCCCCCAUCUGAAUUUCUUUUGUUGUGACAAAAUGCUUAUUCUAAUUCUGGUUUUAUUGUCAUUUGCAUUCUGCGGAUCUGGUUUUUAUAAAUUAUUUAUGUGACUAAUGUUUGGCUCCUCUACCACACAAAUAAAACAGAUUCACUUUAUGAAUCUGAUGAUUUAUGAAGGUCCAUGACUGAAAUUUGCAUUUCUAAUAAAGUCAGCAGUGAGACAGA